AUAACGGUCCUAAGGUAGCGAAAUUCCUUGUCAGGUAAGUUCUGACCCGCACGAAAGGCGUAACGAUUUGGGCGCUGUCUCGGCAGCAGACUCGGUGAAAUCUUAGUACCUGUGAAAAUGCAGGUUACCCGCAACUAGACGGAAAGACCCCAUGGAGCUUUACUGCAGCCUGAUAUUGAGUUUCGAUCAGAGAUGUACAGGAUAGGUGGGAGACAAAGAGACAUGCACGCCAGUGUAUGAGGAGUCGCUGUUGGGAUACCACUCUUGUCUGAUUGGAAUUCUAACCUGCAUCCCUAAGCGGGAUGAGGGACCGUGUCAGGUGGGCAGUUUGACUGGGGCGGUCGCCUCCCAAAGAGUAACGGAGGCGCCCAAAGAUACCCUCAGCUUGGAUGGAAAUCAAGCGCAGAGUGCAAAGGCAUAAGGGUGUUUGACUGCGAGACCUACAAGUCGAGCAGGGACGAAAGUCGGGCUUAGUGAUCCGGCGGUGCUGAAUGGAAAGGCCGUCGCUCAACGGAUAAAAGCUACCCUGGGGAUAACAGGCUGAUCUCCCCCAAGAGUUCACAUCGACGGGGAGGUUUGGCACCUCGAUGUCGGCUCAUCGCAUCCUGGGGCUGUAUUCGGUCCCAAGGGUUUGGCUGUUCGCCAAUUAAAGCGGUACGCGAGCUGGGUUCAGAACGUCGUGAGACAGUUCGGUCCCUAUCUGUUGUGGGCGAAGGAGAUUUGAGGAGAGCUGUCCUUAGUACGAGAGGACCGGGAUGGACCUACCGCUGGUGCACCGGUUGUUCCGCCAGGAGCAUAGCCGGGUAGCUAAGUAGGGAAGGGAUAAGCGCUGAAAGCAUCUAAGCGCGAAGCCUACUCCAAGAUGAGAUCUCCCAUUCGCAAGAAGUAAGACCCCUUGAAGACGACGAGGUAGAUAGGUCAGGGAUGGAAGCAUAGCGAUAUGUGAAGUUGACUGAUACUAAUAGGUCGAGGACUUAAUCAC
rnacentral:rRNA from 1 species